rnacentral:rRNA from 1 species
GUGGGGAAUAUUGGGCAAUGGGCGAAAGCCUGACCCAGCAACGCCGCGUGUAGGAAGAAGGUCUUCGGAUCGUAAACUUCUAUCCUUGGUGAAGAUAAUGACGGUAGCCGAGAAGGAAACCCCGGCUAACUACGUGCCAGCAGCCGCGGUAAUACGUAGGGGGCAAGCGUUGUCCGGAUUGAUUGGGCGUAAUGGGCGCGUAGGCGGCCUGGUAAGUCUGGUGUGAAAGUCCUGCUUUUAAGGUGGGAAUUGCUUUGGAUACUGUCGGGCUUGCGUGCAGGAGAGGUAAGUGGAAUGCCCGGUGUAGCGGUGAAAUGCGUAAGGAUCGGGAGGAACACCAGUAGCGAAGGCGACUUACUGGACUGUAACUGACGCUGAGGCGCGAAAGUGUGGGGAGCAAACAGGAUUAGAAGCCCGGGUAGUCC